AGAAAAUAUUUGUUGUUGACCUGUUAUACUUUGAGAGACUAUUAACAGUUGAUUUUACAAAAAUACCCAGAAGCCAUAACCUAUUGUGACUAUGAAUCCAAUACAAAUUGCAAAAUUCAAACUGAUUAAUUUCAACUCAGCGAGUCGACCAAUUGUCCGAGAGUCGACCAGGUGAUUUCGAGUAGAUCGACAUAAUAAAAACCAAUUGUCCGAGACCCCUAACUAUAACCCAAGUUUGCUACUCAACUCCCCAAAGGCUAAUGAAGGAAUAUUAACAGUAACAGAAGAGCUGAUUCAAAAGACAAAAGUUCCAAUGCCAUUCAAACUCAACAAUUGAUUGUUGAUUUGUAGUGGUCAUCAUCGAUUGUUGAGU
rnacentral:lncRNA from 1 species